rnacentral:rRNA from 1 species
GACGAACGCUGGCGGCGUGCUUAACACAUGCAAGUCGAACGGAAAGGCGAUGCUCUUGUGGGGUGCUCGAGUGGCGAACGGGUGAGUGUCACGUGAGUAACCUGCCCUUGACUUUGGGAUAACUUCAGGAAACUGGGGCUCAUAUCGGAUAGGAGCUCCUGAUGCAUGGUGGGCGUUGGAAAGUUUCGGCGGUUGGGGAUGGACUCGAGGCUUAUCAGCUUGUUGGUGGGGUAGUGGCUUACCAAGGCUUUGACGGGUAGCCGGCCUGAGAGGGUGACCGGCCACAAUGGUACUGAGAGACGGCGCAGAAGCCAACGGGAGGCAGCAGUGGGGAACAUGACACAAUGGGCGGAAGCCAGAGGCAGCAACGCCGCGUGCGGAAUGACGGCCUUCGAGUGGAAAACCGCUUUCGCCGGUGACGAAGCGUGAGUGACGGUAACUGGUAAAGAAGCAACGGCUAACUACGUG